GGACGAACGCUGGCGGCGUGCUUAACACACGCAAGUCGAACGGGGCGAAGUGAUAGCUUGCUAUUAUGGAGCCUAGUGGCAAACGGGUGAGUAACGCGUAGGCAACCUGCCCUUCAGAUGGGGACAACACCUCGAAAGGGGUGCUAAUACCGAAUGACGUUUCCUGGUCGCAUGACCUGGAAACCAAAGGCCGGGCAACCGGUCACUGAAGGAUGGGCCUGCGUCUGAUUAGCUAGUUGGUGGGGUAACGGCCCACCAAGGCGACGAUCAGUAGCCGGUCUGAGAGGAUGAACGGCCACAUUGGGACUGAGAUACGGCCCAAACUCCUACGGGAGGCAGCAGUGGGGAAUAUUGCACAAUGGGGGAAACCCUGAUGCAGCAACGCCGCGUGAGUGAAGAAGUAUUUCGGUAUGUAAAGCUCUAUCAGCAGGGAAGAAAAUGACGGUACCUGACUAAGAAGCCCCGGCUAACUACGUG
rnacentral:rRNA from 1 species